UACAGAGGGUGCAAGCGUUAAUCGGAAUUACUGGGCGUAAAGCGUGCGUAGACGGUUAUGUAAGUCAGGUGUGAAAGCCCCGGGCUCAACCUGGGAAUUGCAUUUGAGGCUGCAUAGCUAGGGUGCGGAAGAGGGAAGCGGAAUUUCCGGUGUAGCGGUGAAAUGCGUAGAUAUCGGAAGGAACAUCAGUGGCGAAAGCGGCUUCCUGGUCCAGCACCGACGUUCAGGCACGAAAGCGUGGGGAGCAAACAGG
rnacentral:rRNA from 1 species